UACGAAGGGGGGCUAGCGUUGCUCGGAAUCACUGGGCGUAAAGGGUGCGUAGGCGGGUCUUUAAGUCAGGGGUGAAAUCCUGGAGCUCAACUCCAGAACUGCCUUUGAUACUGAAGAUCUUGAGUUCGGGAGAGGUGAGUGGAACUGCGAGUGUAGAGGUGAAAUUCGUAGAUAUUCGCAAGAACACCAGUGGCGAAGGCGGCUCACUGGCCCGAUACUGACGCUGAGGAGCGAAAGUGUGGGGAGCGAACAGG
rnacentral:rRNA from 1 species